UACAGAGGGUGCGAGCGUUAAUCGGAAUUACUGGGCGUAAAGCGUGCGUAGACGGUUAUUUAAGCCGGGUGUGAAAGCCCCGGGCUCAACCUGGGAAUUGCAUUCGAGACUGAAUAGCUAGGGUACGGUAGAGGGAAGCGGAAUUUCCGGUGUAGCGGUGAAAUGCGUAGAUAUCUGGAGGAACACCGGUGGCGAAGGCGGCAUCCUGGACCAAUAUUGACGCUGAGGAGCGAAAGCCAGGGGAGCAAACGGG
rnacentral:rRNA from 1 species